UGGGGGAUAUUGCACAAUGGGGGAAACCCUGAUGCAGCGAUGCCGCGUGAAUGAAGACGGCCUUCGGGUUGUAAAGUUCUGUCGCAGGGGACGAAAAUGACGGUACCCUGCAAGAAAGCUCCGGCUAACUACGUGCC
rnacentral:rRNA from 1 species